UUAUGGCACUCAAACAACAACCAGUAGUAGUGACUCCUGCAAGUGAUCCAGAACUUAAACUUUAAAUCUAAUGUUACUCUAUCUUAAGCUGCCGAUUCAUUAUAACCACAAUAUACAAAUUGUUAUCACAAUACAACAGCAACAUAAAUCGUUACAUAUUAACAUUGCAAUCAAUUCGGCAUAUGCAACGCAUAAUCAAAGCAACGCAGGGUCGAAUCUCACCGAAUCGGAACUAAAUCAAACCAACAAAUCUCAUAAAUUCGACAGCACAAUGAAAUUGAAGCAAAACAUAAUCCAACUCGAAAUCAUAGAUGGCAAAUGAAAUUAAAGAGAAAAAAUUAAGCAGCAAGUCAUCCUUUUCUUACAGAACUCAUUGACAGCACAAUCAGCCAUAUUAAUAACAACACAAUUCAGCUCAGAUUUGAACAAUGAAUUCGGCGGUCCUAAAUAUAAAAUCAUGAACCAUUGACUGAUAGCUUAACCACACAAUUUCCUGUUUUUUCUACUUAAACUGUACAGAAACUAAUUAACCCAAAAGUUGGAAUAAGCCUGUCAAAAAAACUUCAAACUACGAAUCAUAACAACAGCCAGCAAUUACUACACACAAUACAUCAUUGGUUUAACUAAAAAAAAUACAGAAUGCUGUAAACAGGCAAAACUUUUGAUGAGUUCAGAUUAUUACCAACAUAAAUGACGAUAACCAACCGCUGCUUUUGAGGUAUGACGGAAUUUGAACCGAAAAUGGGUCGGUUUGAAAGCAGGACCAAAAGAGUACCCCUCGUUUACAUCCGAACAGCAGAUUUUGUUGUUUUUCUGUCAGCGGCUUGCUCGAACUUCCUGCUAAUCUUUUAAAUCGACUUCGGCAUCCAAAAGCUUCCUUAGUCAGAUUUACCGCUACCGAUACCGAUUUCAAAACCCCACUUCAGUAGUCUUGACUCCAGAUUGUGACGGCGAGGGUUUUGUGGAUUGCGGAGGGAGAGAACAAUGGUGGAGAUAAUGACGAUGAGGGUUUCGGAUGGUGGUGGCCGGAAUCGAGUGAGGUUUGAGGGACGGUGAGGCGAGUUUUGAAGAUGAAAUGAACGACGGCUGUAGGGUUUCGCGAUUGUUCGUCGGAAAGGAGAAGAGGAGUUGUUGUGAGAUUGAAGGGUGGCUGUGGCUUCGUGGAGAAUAUGAAGAGCGAUGGUUGAGAGAAUAUGGCGUUUCCGGCGGUGAUUUUCAGUGAGGGUUUCGGGGAUGAGAGGGAUUUGAGAGUUAGACUGAAGAGGAAAGGAUUUUAGCGUGAGAUGUGAAGGUGAGCGAGAUGAUGAAGGGCGAUUGAGGGUUUUUGGAGAGUGAAGAGAUUUUUUGUGAUUGUCUGAGAGAUUGUCAGUGAGGAGUGAAUGGUGAGAGAGGUUAUAUGAUAGCUGUUAUUAAUAAUGAGAGAGUGAUGUGAAGAGAAUGAGGGUAACGUGUGAGUGUGGAGAGAGAGAUGAUGGAGAGUGAUUUUGGGAGUGGGCU